rnacentral:misc_RNA from 1 species
GGGCACCUCAUAAAUAAUGCUUAUAUAUGGAAUGAUUUAUUGUUAGACAUGAAAGGGGAAAAAAUUGUAAACAGAUUAAGAUGGGUCUGAAUAGCUGAAAUUGUAAUGGAAAUGAGACUUCUUAAAUUAUAUCAAUGGAUUUGAUUCCACAAUCUCUCACCUUAAAAUUAGAUUCAUAACUGAAUUCAGCGGGAGACAUUGAUGUUCUGAUCAUGAAUUGCGGAGCAAUUUCAUGAUUUGUCAAUAUCAAGUCCCCAAAAAAAAAUUCAUGUACACUAGAACUUGGAAAAGUUUCUAGCAAAUGACACUAGUAUCAUUGCAAGUUCAUUCCACUCACCUCAUUAAUGUCUAUCAUAGGAA